UCUCUGGUGGCUCAGAGGGUAAAGCAUCUGCCUGCAAUGCGGGAGACCUGGGUUCAAUCCCUGGGUUGGGAA
rnacentral:tRNA from 1 species